GUUGGGCAUGGUGGCACAUGCCUGUAAUCCUAGCAGCUUGGGAGGUUGAGGCAGGAGGAUCACAAAUUCAAAGCCUCCCUCCGCAAAUUAGUGAGGCCUUAAGCAACUUAGUGAGACCCUGUAUCAA
rnacentral:sRNA from 1 species